CACGUAGGUGGCAAGCGUUGUCCGGAUUUACUGGGUGUAAAGGGCGUGUAGCCGGGCUGACAAGUCAGAUGUGAAAUCCGGGGGCUCAACCCCCGAACUGCAUUUGAAACUGUUGGUCUUGAGUAUCGGAGAGGCAGGCGGAAUUCCUAGUGUAGCGGUGAAAUGCGUAGAUAUUAGGAGGAACACCAGUGGCGAAGGCGGCCUGCUGGACGACAACUGACGUUGAGGCCCGAAAGCGUGGGGAGCAAACAGG
rnacentral:rRNA from 1 species